rnacentral:rRNA from 1 species
UACGAAGGGGGCUAGCGUUGUUCGGAAUUACUGGGCGUAAAGCGCGCGCAGGCGGUCUUCCAAGUCAGUGGUGAAAGCCUGGAGCUCAACUCCAGAACUGCCAUUGAAACUGUUAGACUUGAGUACGAGAGAGGUGAGUGGAAUUCCCAGUGUAGAGGUGAAAUUCGUAGAUAUUGGGAAGACCACCAGUGGCGAAGGCGGCUUGCCAGAACGCGCUCGACGGUGAGGGAUGAAAGCUGGGGGAGCAAACCGG